GACGAACGCUGGCGGCGUGCCUAAUACAUGCAAGUCGAGCGAGCGGCGGACGGGUGAGUAAUGUCUGGGAAACUGCCUGAUGGAGGGGGAUAACUACUGGAAACGGUAGCUAAUACCGCAUACCAUCAGAUGUGCCCAGAUGGGAUUAGCUAGUAGGUGGGGUAACGGCUCACCUAGCCGACGAUCCCUAGCUGGUCUGAGAGGACGACCAGCCACACGGGAACGGAGACCCGCUCCAGACUCCUACGGGAGGCAGCAGUGGGGAAUAUUGCACAAUGGGCGCAAGCCUGAUGCAGCCAUGCCGCGGGUGUGAGGAAGGCCUUCGGGUUGUAAAGCACUUUCAGCGGGGAGGCGUUACCCGCAGAAGAAGCACCGGCUAACUACGUGCCAGCAGCCGCGGUAAUUC
rnacentral:rRNA from 1 species